UGCGAGCGUUGUCCGGAAUCACUGGGCGUAAAGGGCGCGUAGGCGGCUUCUCAAGCGUGUGGUGAAAGUCCGGGGCUCAACCCCGGAUCGGCCGUGCGGACUGGGGAGCUCGAGUUCUGUAGAGGCGGGUGGAAUUCCGGGUGUAGCGGUGGAAUGCGUAGAGAUCCGGAAGAACACCGGUGGCGAAGGCGGCCCGCUGGGCAGAGACUGACGCUGAGGCGCGACAGCGUGGGGAGCAAACAGG
rnacentral:rRNA from 1 species